ensembl:lncRNA
GUGCACACUGCGUGGUGCUCAGCACCCUGCCAGCCGCACCCCGGACACGCCACACAGCGCUCAGCAUCCCCACGCACCGCGCAUAGUGCUCAGCAUCUCUGCGCAAGGUGCUCAGCACCCUUCCCGCUGCACCCCGCGCGUGGUGCUCAGCACCCUCCCUGCUCAGCUCCCUUUGAAGCCAACGAGCAGAAUUAGGCGCGGGUGGGGGGGUGGGGGAUGGGACUCUCCCUCCCCUCUCCUCCAGCCGCUGGUAAACAUCUAAAUCAGGUCAAGGAGCUGGGAUCCAUCCUGCUCCCACCUCUUCCAUGGCCUGGAGCAGCCCCAGGAGGUGCUGGGUGCUCCACAGCUGGACCAGGGAGAAGGUGACGCCCAAGGGGACAAUGGCACUAGGUCACCCCCCACGGCAGGAGGUCACCCUGGAGGUGGGAUGGAGAGCAGGAUGCCACCCUUGUGUCCUGAGGGAUGGAAGCCGGGAGGAGGGGUGGUCCGGAGCGCCCGUGGUGGAGCCAACAUCUCCUCCAGGGUUGGGUGGGCUGCUUGGACAACCCAGCGAGGGGCUUGGGCAAGUUCUUGAGGGAUGGGAGACCCUCCGUGGUGACCUCUAGGACGGGACCCUCCGUGGUGACUUCCAGGACAGGACCCUCCGUGGUGACAUCCAGGACAGGACCCUCCGUGGUGACCUCCAGGACGGGACCCUCCGUGGUGACCUCCAGGAGCUCCUCCUCCAGCCGGCGGCUCCUGAGGGACAUCUCCAGGGAUGGAGGAGGGAAGGUGACCCACCUCGGAGAGAGACCUGACGUGGGCCAGAACUGCAGGAAAAGCUUUGGUAGAAGGUCCAGCCAGUGGAUCCCAGACCCUACAGAUGUCCCAGCUGUGGGAAGGGCUUCACCAUGACCUCAAAGCUCAUCAGACACCACCAGACCCACACGGAGGAGCCCCCAUGACCUCAAAGCUCAUCAGACCCACACAGAGGAGGUCCCUACAAGUUCUCCAUGUGCGGGAAUUGCUACAAGGGGCUGAGGUCCCACCAGAACCACCCCAUGAAGUGGGAGGUGGUGGAAACUCCCCGGCGUAGGUGGGCAUCCAUGAUGGGUUGUGACUUUUGGGGUCUCCAGCCCCAUAGCUCCUGCUCAGGGUGCAGAAGGCCACAGGUCCAGCCCUCAUCUUCCUCCCCUUCACCCCCCAUGAUCCUCCAGCAACUCGGAGAGCCCAGAGACCUCGUUAAGAACGCUCAGCGUUAAUUGGCGCAGGAAAACGAAGGUUUUCCCAGAUGAAAACCCAACAUCUGGAUUUUUCUGCGCUGGGAGGUGGGUCCAAGGUGAUGUCCAGGAGCCGAGUCCUUCUGCUCUCGGAACCAAGUGGAAGAACUUUCCUUCUCCUCCACCUCCACACCGGGAUGCUGGAAACUCAUUAAUGGGUUGAAUUAAUCAGGUUUUGGUUUAAAUUCCAGCCUUAAUUAGGUAUUUUUCAGAGUUGGGAAGGUCAUCCGGCGUCCGUGGAAUCGGGUCCCUGCCCCCACCUCGUGGUCCUGGCUCGGGACACCCGACCCCUAAUUUCUGUCUAAUUAAACCGUGAGCUUGCUCCGCUUUAGAUGGAGGGGGCAGGACUGGGGGGCUCCAUCCCAGUUCCUCCCAGCAUCUCCCAGUAACGCUGGGGGGCUCCAUGCCAGUUCCCCCCAGCAUCUCCCAGUGACACCAGGGGGCUCCAUCCUGCUCCCCCGCAAUUCCCAGUAACACCGGGGGGCUCCAUCCCAGUUCCCCCCAGCAUCUCCCAGUAACACCGGGGGGCUCCAUCCUGCCCCCACCCCGCAAUUCCCGGUAACACCGGGAGGCUCCAUCCCAGUUCCCCCCAGCAUCUCCCAGUGACACCGGGGGGCUCCAUCCUGCUCCCCCGCAAUUCCC